UACGUAGGGUGCAAGCGUUAAUCGGAAUUACUGGGCGUAAAGCGUGCGCAGGCGGUGAUGUAAGACAGAUGUGAAAUCCCCGGGCUCAACCUGGGAACUGCAUUUGUGACUGCAUCGCUGGAGUACGGCAGAGGGGGAUGGAAUUCCGCGUGUAGCAGUGAAAUGCGUAGAUAUGCGGAGGAACACCGAUGGCGAAGGCAAUCCCCUGGGCCUGUACUGACGCUCAUGCACGAAAGCCAGGGGAGCGAACGGG
rnacentral:rRNA from 1 species